ACUCAAAGGAAUUGACGGGGGCCCGCACAAGCGGCGGAGCAUGCGGAUUAAUUCGAUGCAACGCGAAGAACCUUACCAAGGCUUGACAUGAACCGGAAAGGCCCAGAGAUGGGUCCCCCACUUGUGGCCGGUUUACAGGUGGUGCAUGGUUGUCGUCAGCUCGUGUCGUGAGAUGUUGGGUUAAGUCCCGCAACGAGCGCAACCCUCGUUCUAUGUUGCCAGCGCGUGAUGGCGGGGACUCAUAGGAGACUGCCGGGGUCAACUCGGAGGAAGGUGGGGACGACGUCAAAUCAUCAUGCCCCUUAUGUCUUGGGCUUCACGCAUGCUACAAUGGCCGGUACAAAGGGUUGCGAUGCUGUGAGGUGGAGCUAAUCCCAAAAAGCCGGUCUCAGUUCGGAUUGGGGUCUGCAACUCGACCCCAUGAAGUCGGAGUCGCUAGUAAUCGCAGAUCAGCAACGCUGCGGUGAAUACGUUCCCGGGCCUUGUACACACCGCCGU
rnacentral:rRNA from 1 species